GUUCAAGGCCACUGCAGUGCAGAGGCAGAUUUCAUCCUUUCUCUGCACAUUAUCCUGUGCAUUCAGCAGGAAACAGAUUUUCUAAUUAAAUUCUGAGCUCAUUUAUUGAAGGAGCAGUCUCCUUCCUUUCAGAGAAAAGAGGGUGUUUAAGGUAGAGAGAGGAGACACCAGAGCUCUUUUGCAAGAGACUGGGGGGAGGGAAGGGAAAAAAAACCCUUAUUCUUUGAAUGAAACAAACAAACACACCCUAAAUUCAGAGCAAAAUAUCCCCAGAGCAGCAAAUCGAGUCCAUGCUGAUGUGUGGAGACAACAGGAGCUUUUGCCAUGUAAAAGCCAAAAGAAGUGAAGAGAGGAUCUGUGUGCCCCAGCACAGUUUUAGCCUGUGCAUCACUGCAGGGAGUUUCUGCUCACACAGACAGACUCCAAAUGCUCCUGGAAAGCCUGGCACCCCUGUCCUGGAGCACCUGAGGACAGAGGGUUGUCUGCUCACAGAGGAAUUCCUGCAGCAUCUCACCACAGAUGGAGAUGGACUUGGACUUUGUGACUUCUUCCAUGUUGAGACAGGAAACACUCAGCACUCACCUUUGGCCAGUGCUUGAUGACAGGACUGAGAGAAGAAAGACAUUCCUGAAGUUUGGCUCUCCAAAGCUUCCCGAGGCUGGACACAUCUUGGGCAUCAUCUGCAUCCACCUCCAGACCAAAUAAACAGCAGGGAUGCAGCAGCAGGAGUGACCCUGGGAUGCUCCUGGCGCUGCCACAGCAGUGACAUGUGGCCCUGGUGGCUCGGAAGGCCUUUGCUGUGACUCCUUCCAAGAGGCUGAAGUGACUCACUCAGAUCCUCCUCUGAGAAGGAAUCACUUCGCAGCAUGCAGCGUUUGGGAGGAAAGCCACAGAAAAAGCUGCAAAACAAAGGCCUCAACAUCAGACCUGCUCUCAGGACCCUCAGCCACCAAUGGCCAGAUCCACCACCUGAAGGAAAGACUGGCACAGCAAUCCCUGGUGCUGUUGCUGAGAUUCCUUCUCUGUGUCCAAGAGCUCUCCCAGGGGAGAAGAAAGUGCUGCAGACAGACGGAGGGCAAACCACGCACCAAAGAGCCUCCCAUGCAGUGCAAUGCAAACAUUCAAGGUGCUGAGAGCCAGAAUGAAACUGGGAAGCUGCUUCCAGCAGGACAAAGAAAAGCCUGAGCUGGUCCAGGUACUCCAAGUGCUGAGAAUGGAAAGAGAGGCCAGAACAGAAGAACCAAGUCCAGACUUUGGGGACAGCAGGGAUGCUGACUGUCUGUGGAGAGGAUUCUGCACACCUCUGCAGUCUGGGGCCGCUGGGACUCACCUAAAGAAAUCUUCACUAGAAAAUGAUCCUCACUGAAAAAAACCCCAAACUUUCCUGAUUAACUUUGCCAAAGGGCUGAUCCUGCCUUGGCUACGAACCCUCUCUGCUGGCCAUGCUGUAACUCACCUCUCCUGAGUCCUUUCAUGCGGGUAUCAGUUUCAAACCUCAAAGGGCUCCUGGAGUUUGGAGAAGCAUCCCACGGUCCAGAUGCUUGUCUGAACUGUUGGAGCCUGCACAUCUGGGCCAGCUGUCUUGCCAGCAAGGAGCCUUGUGAGACAGCAGGCGCUCUCUGGGUCUGCAUGGGCCAGAGUUACUGCAAGAACUGGGGUUCUUGUGCUGGCUUUGGAGUGACUGUUUCCAUCCAGACCCAGGGAGCCCAAAAAGAGCUCGAGUGAGCUGGACAAGACAGUUUUGGUUCAUCUCUCAGCCGAAGAGGUCCAGUUGGUUCCUCUCUCUUCCAGAGCCAGCUGUCCUGUGUGUGCGUGUGGGUGUGGAUGUGGGGGUGUGUGUGUGUGUGUUGAGCAAAAAAAUCCAAAUUACUUAAAUUCUGUGGUGUUUUGUUGCAUUUGAAUUAAGCCAGAGGGACCUAAGGCACAUUCCAACAAGGCUCAGCAAAAAUGUCCAGGACUGGAAAAUUCCAUAAAACCAUGUAAAGGCAGAUUCCCAGGCAUCAUCUUAAGGUCUAAAUGAUAUUUGAUUUUGAGGUGCUUAAUUUCCACAGUCUCUUCCAAGGGACUAGACUGCCUCAAUAGGCACUUCAUUUUUCCUGCUUUUUUAGGGAAUUAGCCUGUCUGUGCUACUUGGUCAUUUGGUCCUGAGUUUUUUUUACAUUUUCAGCUGGCUUUUUGGAGUGUGCAGAACUGAAUUUCCUGGACUGAUUUGAUUUCAAUUGUUGCUCCCAGCAAACUGGAGCUUUACUUGUAGCACCCUGGUUUUUAUUACCAGCCUCUCCAGGAAGGACUGGUAGUUUAUUUUCCUGGGGCAGAGUCACGUGAAUGAGAAGUGUGGAUGUGUUGUACCUCUGGAACUUUAGCAGAUUUCAACCACUGCAUUUUUUUUUUUCCUCCCUAGGCGAUUUUGCAUUUACUGAUGAAACUACUUUAGAGGUUUUAUUUUUACUAGAGAUAUUAUUAAUUCAAGCAACCUUGUGCAAAAGGCAAACGUGUCGAAUCGCUGCAGGUUGUAGGGGUUGAAGCCAAAAGGUCUUUGUAAGCCGACAUCACCUGCCCUGGAUCUGACUGGAUCAGGCAGUUUAUUCCUCAUGUGUCAUGUUGGAGUUACAAGAUCACACCAAGCCACUAGAGCCUGCCAGUAGAAUAGUGCUACACUCGAUUUGCUAUUGUAGCAAAGCCUUUUGUAGAUUUAUACAAUAAAACUUUGAAAUAUCUGCU